AACGCGAAGAACCUUACCUGGGCUUGAACCGCUGGUGACCAGCGGUAGAAAUAUCGCCUUCUCGCAAGAGACACUAGUAGAGGUGCUGCAUGGCUGUCGUCAGCUCGUGCCGUGAGGUGUUGGGUUAAGUCCCGCAACGAGCGCAACCCUUACUCUUAGUUGCCACCCGCAAGGGGGAACUCUAAGAGGACUGCUCCGGAUAACGGAGAGGAAGGUGGGGAUGACGUCAAGUCAGCACGGCCUUUAUGUCCAGGGCUACACACGUGUUACAAUGCAUGGGACAAACCGUCGCGAACCCGUGAGGGGGAGCUAAUCGGAUAAACCCAUGCUCAGUUCGGAUUGCAGUCUGCAACUCGACUGCAUGAAGCUGGAAUCGCUAGUAAUGGCGUAUCAGAACGACGCCGUGAAUACGUUCCCGGGCCUUGUACACACCGCAUAC
rnacentral:rRNA from 1 species